CUACGGGCGGCACCAGUGGGGAAUUUUGCGCAAUGGGGGAAACCCUGACGCAGCAAUACCGCGUGAGUGAAGAAGGCCUUUGGGUCGUAAAGCUCUUUUCUUGGGGAAGAUAGUGACGGUACCCAAGGAAUAAGCACCGGCUAACUCCGUGUCAGCAGCCGCGGUAAUACGGAGGGUGCAAGCGUUGUUCGGAUUUACUGGGCGUAAAGGGCACGUAGGCGGCACAGCAAGUUAAGGGUGAAAUCCCGGGGCUCAACUCCGGAACUGCUCUUAAAACUGCUGAGCUAGAGAUAGUCAGAGGCGGGUGGAAUUCCAGGUGUAGAGGUGAAAUUCGUAGAUAUCUGGAGGAACACCGGUGGCGAAGGCGGCCCGCUGGGGCUAUUCUGACGCUAAGGUGCGAAAGCGUGGGGAGCAAACGGGAUUAGAUACCCCUGUAGUC
rnacentral:rRNA from 1 species